CAAAACCGAUUGAGUUCACAAU
rnacentral:piRNA from 1 species